rfam:Oryza glumipatula chromosome 11, whole genome shotgun sequence.
UUUAAGUACAACCAUAAGUUUUCGCGCCUAACUAUGAUCGUUCGUAUUAUUUGAAAAAAAAAAUUAUAAUUAGUAUUUUUGUUGUUAUGAGAUAAUAAAACAUGAAUAGUACUUUACUCGUGACUUAUGUUUUUAAUUUUUUUUAAAAGAUUUUCAAAUAAGAUGGACGGUUAAAGUUGGCCGCGGAAAACCAUGACGGCACUUAAA